UACGGAGGGUGCAAGCGUUAUCCGGAUUUACUGGGUUUAAAGGGUGCGUAGGUGGGUCUGUAUGUCAGUGGUGAAAUCUCCGGGCUUAACCCGGAAACUGCCAUUGAUACUAUAGAUCUUGAAUAUCCUGGAGGUGAGCGGAAUAUGUCAUGUAGCGGUGAAAUGCUUAGAUAUGACAUAGAACACCAAUUGCGAAGGCAGCUCACUACGGGAUCAUUGACACUGAGGCACGAAAGCGUGGGGAUCAAACAGG
rnacentral:rRNA from 1 species